rnacentral:rRNA from 1 species
UACGGAGGGUGCAAGCGUUAUCCGGAUUCACUGGGUUUAAAGGGUGCGUAGGAGGGCAGGUAAGUCAGUGGUGAAAUCUCCAAGCUUAACUUGGAAACUGCCGUUGAUACUAUCUGUCUUGAAUAUUGUGGAGGUCAGCGGAAUAUGUCAUGUAGCGGUGAAAUGCUUAGAUAUGACAUAGAACACCAAUUGCGAAGGCAGCUGGCUACACAAAUAUUGACACUGAGGCACGAAAGCGUGGGGAUCAAACAGG